GGAUAUAGCUCAGUUGGUAGAGUGCUUGCCUUGCCUCACAUGCACAAGGCCCUUGGUUCAAUUCCCAGCACCA
rnacentral:tRNA from 1 species